UACGUAGGGUGCAAGCGUUAAUCGGAAUUGCUGGGCGUAAAGCGUGCGCAGGCGGUUUUGUAAGUCUGGCGUGAAAUCCCCGGGCUCAACCUGGGAAUUGCGUUGGAGACUGCAAGGCUGGAGUCUGGCAGAGGGGGGUAGAAUUCCACGUGUAGCAGUGAAAUGCGUAGAGAUGUGGAGGAACACCGAUGGCGAAGGCAGCCCCCUGGGUCAAGACUGACGCUCAUGCACGAAAGCGUGGGGAGCAAACAGG
rnacentral:rRNA from 1 species